UUCAUCUUUUGUGCAGCACGGCGCCGGUCUGGUGAUGUAGAGGUAGUCGAGGAACAACUACCAGAUGCGAGGCUCCGCACGUGGUUGCGGCGAUGGCGGCGGAGCGCGACCUGCUGCUACAGUGGGGAAACCGGAAGCGCCUGCGCUGUGUCAAGGUGCAGCGCCACGAUGUUGAGGCCGUAGCCACGACGGCCGCCGAGGAAGUUGCGACCGGAAGCGUCGGGCCGCGACAGCGGCGGCUGCAGCCACGGCGGCCGUGCAGCACCACCCCACCACCGCGGCCUCAGGUGAUUUGAACCAACCUACUGAAAUGCUGCUGCUGGAGAGCACGGAACCUACGCCCUGAUUUACUGGCACAACUGCACAAGUAGUAUGUUUAGGGUGAAUUGUAGGCUCAUUUUUGGGUACCUGAUGGUGGCUGACAGUAUUCUCAGCCCAUGUAUAGCGUAGUCCCCAGCACUCUCAAGUCUCAACGCCGAGAAUGCCACUUGAUGAACUUUUGGAGCAUAGACUUCU